rnacentral:misc_RNA from 1 species
AUGAAGGAUUUACAGCAACUAAUGAGAGAAGGGGCUCAAAUAUUAUUUCGGGUUGGGCUUUUGCAAUUGGUUUAAACAACUCAAUGGCAAGUUGGAUUUUAGUAUCAAGAGACGUUAACUUCUCUAGCUCAAUGUCGGGCUCUAGAAUUGUAAGUUUGCUUAAUGGGUUGGAGUUAGAAGGAGGUCUGGAUGGGCUUAAAGUAG